CAGCACCUCAAGUGGUCAGGAUGAUUAUUGGGCCUAAAGCAUCCGUAGCCGGCGCUGUAAGUUUUCGGUUAAAUCUGUACGCUCAACGUACAGGCUGCCGGGAAUACUGCAGCGCUAGAGAGUGGGAGAGGUAGACGGUACUCGGUAGGAAGGGGUAAAAUCCUUUGAUCUAUUGAUGACCACCUGUGGCGAAGGCGGUCUACCAGAACACGUCCGACGGUGAGGGAUGAAAGCUGGGGGAGCAAACCGGAUUAGAUACCCGCGUAGUCC
rnacentral:rRNA from 1 species